UUCCCACAUGGCAAGAACAAAUGGAACAACAAGCCUAACAAGACCACUACCUUCAAGAAGAAGAAGAACAAGGCUUUGGAAAAGUGCUAUGCAUGUGGUAAGUUUGGACACUUCUCCAAGGAGUGCCCAGAUCGGGCAGACCGCAGGGCCAAGAAAGCAAAUGAGUCCAAGGAUGUCAACAUGGUGACCAUAAGCAACACUGGAGAUGGACCGUCCAGGACUUCUCCGUGCUGAUGGGGAACGGUUCACAUGCUUCUGUUAAUGGUGUUGGCACGGUAGAUCUGAAGUUUACUUCGGGGAAGAUCGUGCAGCUGAGGAACGUACAGCAUGUGCCCACUAUCAACAAGAAUCUGGUCAGCGGGUCAGUCCUAUGCAAGGACGGUUUUAAGGUAGUGUUAGAGUCCAAUAAAUUUGUCGUGUCGAAACAUGGACAAUUCGUUGGUAAAGGCUAUGAUUGCGGAGGCUUGUUCCGCUUUUCUCUUGCUGAAUUUUGUAAUAAGUCGGUGGACCA